AGCAGGAUCAGCCUUGGUUAGUACUUGGAUGGGAGACCAUCAUUGAAGAUGUGCUUCUUACAGGUGGGAGUUCACUGUCAACAGAUAGAUCAUUCAAGGUGUGCUGCCAGUUCCUGGAAUCAAAAUGAAAUUCCUCAGUGGCCAUAAAAAUGUUGGAGAAAAGAGGAAAUCACUGGUGAGCAUGAAAGGCAUGAGCUUCCAGCAAAUCUUUCCCAUCAACACAGAAAAUGUCACAAUGCCCUAACGGAUUUUCUGGUCUAACUGGUUUCCUGAAGCAUAUGAAAACCAAAGUGUGCCGAUAUCUUGCAUUUCAGCUCACAGUAUGCCAACCUAGCAUGGCCAACAGUGAGGAUGGCUGGCGAAUUAUGGAGGUUGCUGUCCUUCUACUGCCUGGUAAAGAUGAAGGAAUUGGGAACAGAGGAAGACUGCCCUGCAGGCGGAUUGAUUGCAUCAACAAAGCAAUGGCCCUUACUUAGCUUGCAAGACCUGGAAUGGCUGGAAUUCAGGAAGCUCUCUCAUUCAUGGGGUCACCGUAAGUUGAAACCAACUAGAAGAAAAUGGACAACGGCAGUCUUAAAAAAUAAGUCUACCCAGCUCUGUACACUGGCUUAUUGUAUAUACUCAUGUAUAAGUCUAGAAAUUUAAAAAAAAU